rnacentral:rRNA from 1 species
UGCAGUCGUACGCACUGGCCCAACUGAUUGAUGGUGCUUGCACCUGAUUGACGAUGGAUCACCAGUGAGUGGCGGACGGGUGAGUAACACGUAGGUAACCUGCCCCGGAGCGGGGGAUAACAUUUGGAAACAGAUGCUAAUACCGCAUAACAACAAAAGCCACAUGGCUUUUGUUUGAAAGAUGGCUUUGGCUAUCACUCUGGGAUGGACCUGCGGUGCAUUAGCUAGUUGGUAAGGUAACGGCUUACCAAGGCGAUGAUGCAUAGCCGAGUUGAGAGACUGAUCGGCCACAAUGGAACUGAGACACGGUCCAUACUCCUACGGGAGGCAGCAGUAGGGAAUCUUCCACAAUGGGCGCAAGCCUGAUGGAGCAACACCGCGUGAGUGAAGAAGGGUUUCGGCUCGUAAAGCUCUGUUGUUGGAGAAGAACGUGCGUGAGAGUAACUGUUCACGCAGUGACGGUAUCCAACCAGAAAGUCACGGCUAACUACGUGCCAGCAGCCGCGGUAAUACGUAGGUGGCAAGCGUUAUCCGGAUUUAUUGGGCGUAAAGCGAGCGCAGGCGGUUGCUUAGGUCUGAUGUGAAAGCCUUCGGCUUAACCGAAGAAGUGCAUCGGAAACCGGGCGACUUGAGUGCAGAAGAGGACAGUGGAACUCCAUGUGUAGCGGUGGAAUGCGUAGAUAUAUGGAAGAACACCAGUGGCGAAGGCGGCUGUCUGGUCUGCAACUGACGCUGAGGCUCGAAAGCAUGGGUAGCGAACAGGAUUAGAUACCCUGGUAGUCCAUGCCGUAAACGAUGAGUGCUAGGUGUUGGAGGGUUUCCGCCCUUCAGUGCCGGAGCUAACGCAUUAAGCACUCCGCCUGGGGAGUACGACCGCCAGGUUGAAACUCAAAGGAAUUGACGGGGGCCCGC